GCUAACCUUUUUCUCUCCAUGUAUCUUCAGGAACAUGACAUCUCCUGGGAAGGCUUUCAAGAGGAGGAGCUAGUGGACUGUAUAAGCGUCAACAACAGCUUUUGGGAUAAGAGCCAGGCCUAAGGACCUGUGACAGGAAGCGCGUUCACUUUGGCUUCACUCGUUACAUCUUUUUCGUGCCUCUCUGCCAGCUUCUGGAGGUCAGAAACUCACCAGACAUGUCCAUAGCACUCAAGCAAGUCUUUAAUAAGGACAAGACCUUCCGUCCCAAAAGGAAAUUUGAACCUGGGACCCAGAGGUUUGAGCUCCAUAAACGAGCACAGGCCUCUCUGAACUCAGGGGUGGACCUGAAAGCAGCUGUGCAGCUGCCGAAUGGAGAAGACCAAAAUGACUGGGUGGCAGUACAUGUGGUGGACUUCUUUAAUAGGAUCAAUCUCAUCUAUGGAACGAUCUGUGAGUUCUGCACAGAGAGGACCUGCCCUGUGAUGUCUGGGGGCCCUAAGUACGAGUACAGGUGGCAGGAUGAUUUGAGGUACAAGAAGCCCACAGCGUUACCAGCACCUCAGUAUAUGAACCUUCUCAUGGACUGGAUUGAGGUGCAAAUCAACAAUGAGGACAUAUUCCCUACUAGUGUGGGUGUUCCCUUUCCAAAGAACUUCCUUCAGAUCUGCAAGAAGAUCCUGUGCAGGCUUUUCCGGGUAUUCGUUCAUGUCUACAUUCAUCAUUUCGACCGCAUCAUAAUCAUGGGUGCUGAGGCCCAUGUCAAUACUUGUUACAAGCACUUUUAUUACUUUGUAACAGAGCUCAACCUCAUAGACCGCAAGGAGCUUGAACCUUUGUGUGUGUGUGUCUAGUCUCUUUGUGCAGCUGUUAUAUCUUUUCAUUCCCAGUUGGGGCUCAAGACCAUAGUACCACAGACCAGAGUCAGCAGUUCCUGCACUCCCUCCUCUCCAUUAGAAGAGAAGGAGAUGACAACCAGGAUGUGUCACUAAAGAGCCACCCAUUGAACAUGAGAGAAAUCCAAUUUCCUCCUUCCUGCAGAGCUAGAGGAUGUGAUAGCCUUCGCAGACUGAACCUGCCUGUUAAAUCCCACUAGCAGGAAAGUUGAGGACAGAAGGUUACUUUCACAGAUGCUUCCCACCAUUAUCUAUGCUCUUAACCCUAAAAUGCUGCUAGAAACUCCCUAUGAGUGACAUGGAUUACCAAGAGAGAUCAUUAACUUCAUUUUUUUAAUUGCUGAAUUAUUGAGGAGGAACUCUUCAGUCACAAACAAUGAUAGUCCAUGUUCCUACUGUUCAAGCUUUACUGGAAAUCAGGUUUCUAGGUUGACCUGUGCAUUUUUAAUUUGAACAAGAACAUGAUAAUUAGUUAAAAAUGUUUUUCUGUAUGUACUUUGCUUUCCAGGUAUGGCAUAAUAUUAAGAAGAACCCCAGCAAGGUUUUGUAAUUGAACUUUGUGUCUCUUCACACCACCCAAAACGUGUUGGUAAAGCUUCCCCAAUACCAGAUGCCUCGGCAUCUGUAGGAAUGAAACUGUUUUCUCCAGGAGAUCGGGCAGAAUGGAAUUUUCCUGUGGUUUUUUUUGUUUGGGUUUUUUUGCUUCUUUUUUCAUUUUGACUCUCAAUGAGAUAACAGCAGGGCAGAUUCUCACCUCCAUAGAAAUCCAAGGUAACUUCAGUGGGCUCACUCUAGGGUUUAAAAUCCCCUUCAUUUUUCCCCUGCCCUAUUUUUAUUCCUCCCUACCCCCACCACUACCUCCCCCUCCACACAUAUGCACACACUUCUGUCUUUCAAGGUGAGGAUGUCCCUCAUAUGGUGUAAAUUUAAGAUGAUCAUUGGUAUGAAGGUUACAUCAGGGCCACAGGGUAUGACAUUACUAGAAAAGUCCAGUAUGUCAUUUUCAGUGUACAGUCUGAUUUUAAACCACUGAUAACAACAUCUCAUUCACUUAGGUAACAUGUGACUGCUGCCACAGGGCUCUUUCUGAAUAUUUGAAAUAGUUUCUACUGAAGGAGGGUCUCCAGGGACAGAGUUGAACAAACGGAAAACAAGUAGUAUAGUCCCAUGUAUUCUGUGCCUUCUAAGGAAUUUUGCACAGCCCUUUUAUUGUAUAAUAAAGAUAAUACUUUCCGGGACAGUUCUUGAA